UCGAGAAUAUUUCGCAAUGGGCGAAAGCCUGACGAAGCGACGCCGUGUGAGCGAUGAAGGCCCUAGGGUCGUAAAGCUCUUUCGCCUGAGAACAAGAGAACACAGUGAAUAGCUGUGUAAUUUGAGCGUACCAGGUAAAGAAGCACCGGCUAACUCCGUGCCAGCAGCUGCGGUAAUACGGAGGGUGCAAGCAUUAAUCGGAUUUAUUGGGCGUAAAGGGGGCGUAGGCGGAAAUGUAAGCCAGACGUGAAAUCCCGGGGCUCAACCCCGGAACGGCAUUUGGAACUACAUUUCUAGAGGAUAGGCGGAGAAAACGGAAUUCCACAUGUAGCGGUGAAAUGCGUAGAUAUGUGGAAGAACACCGGUGGCGAAGGCGGUUUUCUAGCUUAUUCCUGACGCUGAGGCCCGAAAGCUAGGGGAGCAAACAGGAUUAGAUACCCCUGUAGUCC
rnacentral:rRNA from 1 species